CCCAACCCCCCUCCACGCCACUCCGCCAACCACCAGGAUGCCCGGCAUCAGAACAUUCCAGGCAUUCCCGUGAUUGGCAGAUAGCAGGUUGACUGACAUGUCGGACCCCGCGAACACCGGGUACUGGUCAGUACAACACAACCACAUCCUAGCCUAAGACAUAACACACAGCUGUCUGUGCGGGUCGCUACAAUAUGGUUGGAAUCUAUUUGGUCUUAGGCAGGUGGCAAGGAUUUGGCUGGGUGUUAAACGUUGUUCUUGUGUCCUGCAGAAACCCAUCUUGCUGCAGGGCCAUGAGAGGUCUAUCACACAGAUCAAAUACAACCGAGAGGGAGACCUGAUCUUUUCUGUGGCCAAACACACGGUGGCGAACGUGUGGCACUCUGUGAACGGGGAGCGACUCGGCACUUACAAUGGACAUACUGGAGCUUUGUGAUGUGUGGAUUGUGACUGUAUCCUUUACAUUAGUCAUCAAACAAUUUACCACAAUAUAAUCUGUGUGUUAUGUGUUCACGUCUGUACAUGUACAGUGCAUUUGGAAAGUGUUCAGAACGCUUCACCUUUUGUUACAUUUUAAGAUAAAACUUAAACGUACUAUAUCGUUUUUUCCCCUCAUCAAUCUACACACAAUGACAAACCAAAAACAGGUUUUAGAACAUUUUGCAAAUGUAUUAAAAAUAAAAUAAAUGUAAAUAUCACAUUUACAUUUCUUGUUUCUCAUGGUCUGAGAGUCCUUUAGGUGCCUUUUGGCAAACUCCAAGUGGGCUGUCAUGUGCCUUUUGCUGAGUGGUGGCUUCUGUCUGGCCACUCUACCAUAAAGGCCUGAUUGGUGGAGUGCUGCAGAGAUGGUUGUCCUUCUGGAAGGUUCUCCCAUCUCCACAGAGAAACUCUGGAGCUCUGUCAGUGUUACCAUCAGGUCAACUCCCUGACCAAGGCCCGUUUUCUAUUUGAGAAUGAUGGAGGCCACUGUGUUCUUAUGGACCUUCAUUGCUGCAGAAAUGUUCUGGUCCCCUUCCUCAGAUCUGUGCCUCGACACAAUCCUGUCUUGGCGGUCUAUGGACAAUUCCUUCGACCUCAUGGCUUGGUUUUUGCUCUGACAUCCACUGUCAACUGUGGGACCUUCUAUAGACAGUUUACAGGAUACAGGCGUCGUGUCCUUAACCUCUCAGGGGACACCAAGAACGUGCUGACGGGGUCAGCAGACACCGGGGUCAGCAGACAUCGGGGUCAGCAGACACCAGCUGUAGACUGUGAGACGGGUAAACAGCCAUGUUGAACACCAGCUCGGCAGUGAGGACCUGUGCCUUUGACUUCAGUGGCAACAUCAUCAUGUUCUCUACAGACAAGCAGAUGGGCUACCAGUGUUUCAGCAACUACUUUGACCUCCGCGACCCUCAACAGAUCGCUAUUCCAGUGGAGGAGAAGACGGUUACACUUUGACCCCCAGCUGGAGGCGUAAACAGAAGACCAGCAGCAAUACAUCCCUGUAUCAACAUCAAGUCAAACUUAUCAGCUAUACUCAGAAAGACUUCUACAGACGGAGAUGUUUAAAAUAGUUGGGAGGAAAGGAAGCCACAGAAUAAUUUGGUCAUCAACAAAUAGCCCAACGAUAAAGGAAGAGUUGUUCCCCACUAUUCCAGAGUAUUUAAACGGAUUCUCCUAAAUAAAUGGAAAUUGAGCUGCGACAUGAUUUUGUCUGUAUUAUGCACAAAUCAGACCCCCUGAUUUAGUUCAUUUUUAAUGACUACCAAACAGUGAAAAUGGUCACCAGAUUUCCAUACCAGUGAAGUACAGGUAAACUUCCCAGAGGUCGACGAAAACAGACGGGAUCUUUUAGGUUGUGGACCUCCCACUAUGACUCAGGUUGCGUUCAACAGGUUUGAUAUAUGGCUAAGGGCUGUCCUUAACCAUGGUAUAUUGGCCAUAUAUAUAUAUAUAUGUAUUUUUUUUUUUUACAAAACCAGUUGCCUUAUUAUUAAUAUAAACUGGUUACCAACGUAAUUAGAGCAGUACAAAUAAAAUGGUGGUCUGCUAUACCACGGCUGUCAGCCAAUCAGGGCUCGAACCACCCAGUUUAUAAUUGCCGUUUGACCAUAAUAGGAAUCUCAUUGAGGUGGGAGGAG